CCUCUUGCAUCACUCGUAACUUGGCCUUCAGGAAGCGGAUAGUCGCCUCUGUUCAAGCCAACAUAAGGGAUAUUUAUGUCGUCAAAGUCUUUGAUGUGAGGCCAAAAGACAAAUUGUUUCGAGAAAACCAAGGAUGAAAAGAUAACAGAGCAAAAAUAUGAAGAAUCAAAAUUAAAAGCCAUACAGGAAACACAGAUGGAGUCUUAAUGUUGGAGGAAACCGGAGUUCCCGGAGGAAACUGGAGUUCCCAGAGAAAACUGGAGUUCCUGAGGGAAACCUACAUGGUGGGGAAGGUGAUCUUAUAUCUUUUCACAUCAAAAUAGAAACCUAACUCUGGCUAUCGUGUACAGUACUUGCAAGCUGUCCAAACCUAAGGUUGACAGCAUUUUCUAGCACUAUCAAAUCCCUGUCUGACGGUCAAGAAUAUCAUUUCUCCCUUAUUAGACAGAGAUAUUAACACUUCCGGUCAAGGAAAGAUUUAUCUGUCUUACCCUAGGGUAAAGACGGGGGGAUCCCCCUGUCAUAACGAUUGCAUGACGUCAC